rnacentral:lncRNA from 10 species
UGAAACCCCAGUUUCAAAAUUGUCUUUCCUGACCCCUGACAUCGGAUACUUCAGAGGGCCCCUGGAAUGUCCAGAAAAGAGAGAACGCAAUUGGAAAAACUGGUCAUUUCACCAAGGCUUUGACUGGAAGGGUCCAGGAGCUCCAAGUUUAUCUUGGGACCUUAUGAGGAGAGGAUGACCCCACUCACAGUUUUCUCCUACAUUUUAGACUAAUCCUGCUUGUUCCUGUGAACCAACCAGCAAUCUCUGGCUGCAGCUCAGAAAGAACAAAAGGGGAUGGACCAUCAAACUCCAAAUGGUCAUGCAACCAGAGCCUCUGACGAUGGCCCCUUCUGCUGGGAACCCUUAAAUAGGCCUCUGAGGAAGCUCUGACUGCCAUUUCCCCAAAAGCUCUGACUGCCGUUUCCCUGUCAGCAGGAAGCAGUGGAAUCUCAUUCUGUUACCGAGGCUGCAGUGCAGUGGCAUGAUCUCGGCUCACUGCAAGCUCCACCUCCCGAGUUCACGCCAUUCUCCUGCUUCAGCCCCUCGAGUAGCUGGGACUACAGGCGCCCGCCACCACACCCGGCUA